rnacentral:rRNA from 1 species
AGUGAACGCUGGCGGUAGGCCUAACACAUGCAAGUCGAACGGCAGCACAGUAAGAGCUUGCUCUUACGGGUGGCGAGUGGCGGACGGGUGAGGAAUACAUCGGAAUCUACUUUUUCGUGGGGGAUAACGUAGGGAAACUUACGCUAAUACCGCAUACGACCUACGGGUGAAAGCAGGGGAUCUUCGGACCUUGCGCGAUUGAAUGAGCCGAUGUCGGAUUAGCUAGUUGGCGGGGUAAAGGCCCACCAAGGCGACGAUCCGUAGCUGGUCUGAGAGGAUGAUCAGCCACACUGGAACUGAGACACGGUCCAGACUCCUACGGGAGGCAGCAGUGGGGAAUAUUGGACAAUGGGCGCAAGCCUGAUCCAGCCAUACCGCGUGUGUGAAGAAGGCCUUCGGGUUGUAAAGCCCUUUUGUUGGGAAAGAAAAGCAGAAGGUUAAUACCCCGCUGUUCUGACGGUACCCAAAGAAUAAGCACCGGCUAACUUCGUG